rnacentral:rRNA from 1 species
GCAUAUCAAUAAGCGGAGGAAAAGAAACCAACAGGGAUUGCCCUAGUAACGGCGAGUGAAGCGGCAACAGCUCAAAUUUGAAAUCUGGCUCUCGGGCCCGAGUUGUAAUUUGUAGAGGAUGCUUUUGAUGCGGUGCCUUCCGAGUUCCCUGGAACGGGACGCCAUAGAGGGUGAGAGCCCCGUCUGGUUGGAUGCCAAAUCUCUGUAAAGCUCCUUCAACGAGUCGAGUAGUUUGGGAAUGCUGCUCUAAAUGGGAGGUAUAUGUCUUCUAAAGCUAAAUACCGGCCAGAGACCGAUAGCGCACAAGUAGAGUGAUCGAAAGAUGAAAAGCACUUUGAAAAGAGAGUUAAAAAGUACGUGAAAUUGUUGAAAGGGAAGCGUUUAUGACCAGACUUGGACUUGGUUAAUCAUCUGGGGUUCUCCCCAGUGCACUUUUCCAGUUCAGGCCAGCAUCAGUUUUCCCCGGGGGAUAAAGGCGGCGGGAAUGUGGCUCUCUUCGGGGAGUGUUAUAGCCCGCCGUGUAAUACCCUGGGGGGGACUGAGGUUCGCGCAUCUGCAAGGAUGCUGGCGUAAUGGUCAUCAACGACCCGUCUUGAAACACGGACC